rnacentral:lncRNA from 1 species
GUCAGUGGCUGCAAAUUUGAAACCGAGCUGGUGCCAGUGCUUCCCAAACUGUGUUCCGAGGGACACCAGUGUGUCGUGAUGUGCUUUCUAGUCCAAGGAUGCACAGGAACAUUCUGGGGAACCGCGCGCCUGACGGGGUCCACCGCGCGCCGUCAGGGAGCAGCUCUGUGCCUUGGCAGAGCUGGGUUCCCAUCGGCUGCUGAGAUGAGAGGCAAGAACCGGAGUGGAAGUGAGGGGGCUGUGCCCACCGUGCCUCAGACUCAGGCUGUGCGGUGACACCUCGCCGUGCUCGCCCACUGCCCAAGGACGCCGGCGGCUGGACCAACCAAAGCGGCUUUUCGCACGCCCGCCCGGCGCUGUGCGCAGCCAGAGGGAAGUGACAGCGAACGCCAGCCCAGCCCACUUUCGCGUAACCCCAGCGUUGGAGCGGGAGUUUCCUGCUUUCCUGACUCCAUCACAUUCUGCUCCCGAGCUGAUGCCUUCUUGCCAGUUCCCCCAAGGCUCUGGGCUCCCGUUUCCCCACCAGGAAAUGAAGGUCAAUCAGAUACGCCUCUGACCAUCUCUGGAGGGGAGGAUGUGGGAGGGGCCGGAAGCCCACCUUCAAGGUCUCCGCCCGAGGCUGUUGGUGAGUUGUCAGAAGAGAAAGCAGAUCCUUGAUGGAGGAACCAACCUUCCGCCGAGGCCUCAGGAAUUCCUACAGGAAGAGCGACUGCCGAUUUCACAUGAGACCAGGCUACACGUGGACUGGCGUGGCGCAGUGGGACGGGGCUGCGCUAAGCCGCAACGCUCGGACCCGGUCCAAGAGCCCCGCGCUGACCUGCUGAGUGACUUCACCUUCUGGGCCUCGGUUUCCUCACCUGCACGUGGAAGGACCUGGACUCAUUUUCUCUCUACUCUCAAGUUCAGUCAGGAGGUGAGUCUGCAAGAAGUUUAA